UCCAUAUAGUAGUGGUGUCCCAUUUCUUAGCGGCGGAAAAUUUGUAGCCCUUCCCCUUGCCACUUUGUUUCAAGGGGCGAGGGGUAGGCGAAGGGGUAGAAAAUAGAAUUGGGAUUGGGCCUUAGUGUAUAUCAGUGGUUGUAUUUCAGGCAUAGGGCUGCAUUUUGUGACAUUUAUAUUGUAAUUUUUCUGAAAUGGAGAGUGGGGAGUGAAUUGUGGGAGACAUAGCGCCAUAUACGUUGCCUCUACCCGGGACCGACAUAAGGAAAACAUCAUCUUUAAUGUACUGAACAAAUUUUCAAAGUUAUUUUUGGGCAAGUAUAGAGACAAAAUAGAUGUAUUUGAUCAACAAAAAAUUGUAAAUGGAAUGAAUUGACAACCCAACUAUCAAUAUUUAUUUAUUUUUUAUUUUCUAAUCAAAGGUGCCGAAAAGUUAUUUAACCAAUUUUGUGCUUUUACAAGCCUAUAUAAAUGGAUGAAGGACAGAAAAGACAAAGUUUGCCAAUACAGCUGUUCCCUUCGGCAUCCUCCUCACACCCGAACCAGUGAUCUAACGCUGGAAAGGUGAACACGGAUCUCACAUCUUUGCUUUGAACUAGAGGUGCUAAUGAAAUGUUGUCAUUUGUUUUGUAUGUAUGUCUCUGAGACAGAGAGAGCGUGUGUCUGAUACUCUUGGGAAAGGUUGAGAGGAUGGGUGCAGACAAACCGGCGCUGUUUUUGUCCUGGUGACUCCAUGACAGAAGUUGAGAGCUCACCAAGACCUUCGUCUGGGAUGCAAGCCAAAAAAUAGCCAGGACCGGGAGAGCUUCAGCAUACCAGUUCUCACAACACUGUUACUCCAGCAACAAACACUCGACAAGCUUGCUUGUCAGAAACACUGAAGUCAAACCAGGCUGACACAUGCCUUCACCUCUGUCAAACACACAGGACCCACCCCUUUCCCCUGUCAAUGUAAGGCAGUGGUGCGUCAUGGUGCAGAUGGAAACCAUGACGGAAGAGGAACUGGAGGAAUCUGUAACGAGGUAUGCACUUACAACAAAUGACAUUUCAAGAGACAUCAUUCACGAAAUCUGUCCUGCAAGCCGAAUUCUCAAAGGGCACAAAAAAGCUAUCAACAAGCUAAACUUUAUUUUGCAGGAAAACCUAGACAAGGUUUUCCCAAAUUUGACAGUAGCAUUAAGAGUGUUUCUA